GCCAGCUCCCUCUGCUUCUCGUUAGGACUUGUCACCUCCCCCGCCCGGCCCCUCCCUGUUGGGCAGCAGCACUCCUCACCGUCCUCCUGGGACCAUCACGGCCCAGAAAGUCCUGUCAGCUCAGCAGGGUCAAGCCAGGGAAGCUGCGCCUUCCAGAAAGGAGGGGGAAGAGGCCGAGCCUGGACUCUGGACCCGUGAGCCAGGCCCGAGCUGAGCCGCAGAUGCUGUCCAGCCACCUGAACCAGGUGGCCUGCGAGCCUUCCAUCUGUGAGCAGAGACCGGGUCAGAAGUCUCUCCUGCAGGCAGGUACCUGCACGGUGGCCAGCGCUGGGCAGGGUGUGUGAACGGUGCUGAGCGGUGCCCCUGGGGACGCGGGACGUCACGCACCUGGGCCUGCCCGCUGCACUGCAUGUUCAAGACCAGCUGUGACCAUCCUCGGAGCUUCAUGGGAAGCGCGCGCCGGAACCACUUUCCUCAGAGGAGCUGUGUGGACCUCCUCCUCGGCCUGCCUGUCGCACAUCCUUACAGCCCUCAGGGACAGAUAUUAUUAUCCCCAUCUUACAGGUGAGGAAACCGAGGCUCGGAGGCGGGUCACUCACCCAAGGCCACACAGCCUGGUGCAGGCCUGACAUCAGUUCAGCUGAGCUGAUGGCGCUGCAGACGCAAUAGCUGGCGUGGGCUGGGCCACACCGCACGCAGCCGGCGCUGGGCCGGGGGUGUUGCCUCCUUCUGGGGACCACCACCUACGGGCUGGGCCGUGAGAGCAAGUUCUCUGGCGUCUCGUAGCUCCAGUUUCUUCUGGAAAGACUGGAUGAGAUGCUGUGCACUGAGUGGUUAGCACGCGGCUAGAGACCUAGUCUACGUAACACCGCAGAGCAAAGUACAGAAGCCGUUGUCUGUCCUGGGCCUCUUUGUGGGGAAGAUGCCUCAACACGAGUUGGGAAGGGCCUUCAGGGCCGGGCUGUCUGCGGGGCCCGGUGCCACGGGGGGACUCUGUGAGACAGGACAAGGGAUUUGCUGCCCUCGGGGAGACCUGGGAGAGAAGGGAGUAGUGUGCAGAGAGGAGGCGGAAUGGGGUCAAAGGGGAAGGGGGCCCUCCAGUGAAGGCAGGGGUUCCAGGGGAGCCCACCCUCCUGUGGCACAGCAGGGAUCUUCGAGGGGGUUACUGCAAGGCUGUGCUGCGCCUCCCCUCCCUUGCUCCCCACAAAGAAGAUGGUGAUGGUAAUGAUGAUGGUGGUGGAGGUGAUGCUGCUGCUAUUGAUGGUGAUGGUGAUGGUGACGGUGGUGAUGGUGACGGUGGUGAUGGUGACGGUGAUGGUGGUGAUGGUGAUGGUGAUGAUGGUGACGAUGGUGAUGAUGGUGAUGGUGAUGGUGAUGAUGGUGAUGAUGGUGAUGGUGAUGGUGGUG
rnacentral:lncRNA from 1 species